AUCUGCCACAGCGAAACGACGAGGAAGUAGAUAGAGGAGCCAAAAAAAGACAGAAGGUGGAAGAAGAGCCGGAGCAAAACAAUAGAAGCAAAGACAUGGAGACAUAUAGAUAUCGAAGAAUAUCAAAGAGGGUGAUGCAAAAGUGGAAGGAGAGGUUUCGGAAACUGUGACGCUGUGCUUUGUCAGCGCAGGGUGCAACACAGGCCAUUUUAGGAAAACUAAAAUAAGAUGUGCUUAUUGGACAUUACCUGACUUAGAGGCGGACACAUAUUUGGAUGUACGUGGUUCAAUUCAACGUGAUGAGCAGAAGAGGAGAAAUUUAGUUAUGACUCAUGUUGAUCUUUUGGGGCUUGUGUCAGCACGGAUGAUGGGAUAAAUUUGGGAGGGUGACUUGGCCUGAGGUCUUGUGUUCUCUGUAGUCAGAGUCCAUUGCAACAGUUCACCC
ensembl:lncRNA